rnacentral:rRNA from 1 species
CCCUUAGAUGUCCUGGGCCGCACGCGUGCUACACUGAUGCAUACGGCGAGCACUUCCCGGCCCCGAAAGGCGGCUGGUAAUCAGCAAUAUGCAUCGUGAUGGGGAUAGUUCUUUGGAAUUCUUGAACUUGAACGAGGAAUGCCUAGUAGGCGCAAGUCAUUACCUUGCGUCGAUUAAGUCCCUGCCCUUUGUACACACCGCCCGUCGCUCCUACCGAUUCGAGUGACCCGGUGAACCUUUUGGACCGAGGUAGCUUGCUGCUUUGGAAAAUCAAGUAAACCACGUCACUUAGAGGAAGGAGAAGUCGUAACA